rnacentral:rRNA from 1 species
AUUCCAGCUCCAAUAGCGUAUAUUAAAGUUGUUGCGGUUAAAAAGCUCGUAGUUGGAUUUCUGCUGAGGACGACUGGUCCGCCCCCUGGGUGAGCAUCUGGUUCGGCCUGGGCAUCUUCUUGGGGAACGUAUCUGCACUUGAUUGUGUGGUGCGGUAUCCAGGACUUUUACUUUGAGGAAAUUAGAGUGUUUCAAGCAGGCCCGCGCCUUGAAUACAUUAGCAUGGAAUAAUAAGAUAGGACCUCGGUUCUAUUUUGUUGGUUUCUAGAGCUGAGGUAAUGAUUAACAGGGACAGUCAGGGGCACUCGUAUUCCGCCGAGAGAGGUGAAAUUCUCAGACCAGCGGAAGACGAACCACUGCGAAAGCAUUUGCCAGAGAUGUUUUCAUUA